rnacentral:rRNA from 1 species
GACAGAGGUCCCGAGCGUUAGACGGAAUCACUGGGCUUAAAGCGUGUGUAGGCGGAUCUGUAAGUACCUUGUGAAAUCCCAUAGCUUAACUAUGGAACUGCUUGGUAUACUGCGGGUCUUGAGCCACUUAGGGGCAACCGGAACAAAUGGUGGAGCGGUGAAAUGCGUAGAUAUCAUUUGGAACGCCAAUGGUGAAAACAGGUUGCUGGGAGUGUGCUGACGCUGAGACACGAAAGCCAGGGGAGCAAACGGA